CUCUCGGUAGCCAAGUUGGUUUAAGGCGCCAGACUGUAAUUGAAAAGUAAUCUGGAGAUCGGGCGUUCGACUCGCCCCCGAGAGA
rnacentral:tRNA from 3 species